UCGACUCUAUUACAUAAGUUGAUUCCUGAUUCUUAUCAAUGAGCAGAUUUGAUUGUAUCAGCCAAGGGUUGGGUUGUUCGCCCAUUAAAGCGGUAUGUGAGUUGGGUUCAGAACGUCGUGAGACAGUUC
rnacentral:ncRNA from 1 species